ACUUAGUUCUCCUGCCACUAAGUGGGAUCCGGGAGUCGGAAUCAUGUCUUCAGGCUUGAUGUCAAACACCUAGACAUACUGAACCAUCUUGCAGGGUGGAAAACUCAACUCCACCACAUGUUCUCGAGGCCAUGAUGGUCACCUUCAGCACAGCAAGAGACAAUCCAACCAACAGGGACCAAAUCCUCUACAAAUAUAAUCUGAAAUAAAUCCUCUUUCAAACUGUUUCA